rnacentral:rRNA from 1 species
UACGAAGGGGGCUAGCGUUGCUCGGAAUCACUGGGCGUAAAGCGCACGUAGGCGGCUUUUUAAGUCAGAGGUGAAAUCCUGGAGCUCAACUCCAGAACUGCCUUUGAUACUGGAGAGCUUGAGUCCGGGAGAGGUGAGUGGAACUGCGAGUGUAGAGGUGAAAUUCGUAGAUAUUCGCAAGAACACCAGUGGCGAAGGCGGCUCACUGGCCCGUUACUGACGCUGAGGCACGAAAGCGUGGGGAGCAAACAGG